rnacentral:rRNA from 1 species
GCCCAGACUCCUACGGGAGGCAGCAGUGAGGAAUAUUGGUCAAUGGCCGAGAGGCUGAACCAGCCAAGUCGCGUGAGGGAAUAAGGCCCUACGGGUCGUAAACCUCUUUUGCCGGGGAGCAAGGGCGGGGACGUGUCCCGGCCCGGAGAGUACCCGGAGAAAAAGCAUCGGCUAACUCCGUGCCAGCAGCCGCGGUAAUACGGAGGAUGCGAGCGUUAUCCGGAUUUAUUGGGUUUAAAGGGUGCGUAGGCGGGCUUUUAAGUCAGCGGUAAAAAUUCGGGGCUCAACCCCGUCCGGCCGUUGAAACUGGCUGUCUUGAGAUGUCGAGAGGUAUGCGGAAUGCGCAGUGUAGCGGUGAAAUGCUUAGAUAUUGCGCAGAACUCCGAUUGCGAAGGCAGCAUACCGGCGGCGAUCUGACGCUGAGGCACGAAAGCGUGGGUAUCGAACAGGAUUAGAUACCCGUGUAC